rnacentral:rRNA from 1 species
CCUACGGGGGGCAGCAGUGAGGAAUUUUGGUCAAUGGACGAGAGCCUGAACCAGCCAAGUAGCGUGAAGGAUGACUGCCCUACGGGUUGUAAACUUCUUUUAUAAAGGAAUAAAGUGAGGCACGUGUGCCUUUUUGUAUGUACUUUAUGAAUAAGGAUCGGCUAACUCCGUGCCAGCAGCCGCGGUAAUACGGAGGAUCCGAGCGUUAUCCGGAUUUAUUGGGUUUAAAGGGAGCGUAGAUGGGUUGUUAAGUCGGUUGUGAAAGUUUGCGGCUCAACCGUAAAAUUGCAAUUGAUACUGGCAGCCUUGAGUACAGGUGAGGUAAGCGGAAUUCGUGGUGUAGCGGUGAAAUGCUUAGAUAUCACGAAGAACUCCGAUUGCGAAGGCAGCUUACUAAACUGCCACUGACAUUGAUGCUCGAAGGUGUGGGUAUCAAACAGGAUUAGAUACCCGUGUAGUC